rnacentral:rRNA from 1 species
GAUGAACGCUGGCGGCGUGCCUAAUACAUGCAAGUCGAGCGAACAGACGAGGAGCUUGCUCCUCUGACGUUAGCGGCGGACGGGUGAGUAACACGUGGAUAACCUACCUAUAAGACUGGGAUAACUUCGGGAAACCGGAGCUAAUACCGGAUAAUAUAUUGAACCGCAUGGUUCAAUAGUGAAAGACGGCUUUGCUGUCACUUAUAGAUGGAUCCGCGCCGCAUUAGCUAGUUGGUAAGGUAACGGCUUACCAAGGCAACGAUGCGUAGCCGACCUGAGAGGGUGAUCAGCCACACUGGAACUGAGACACGGUCCAGACUCCUACGGGAGGCAGCAGUAGGGAAUCUUCCGCAAUGGGCGAAAGCCUGACGGAGCAACGCCGCGUGAGUGAUGAAGGUCUUCGGAUCGUAAAACUCUGUUAUUAGGGAAGAACAGAUGUGUAAGUAACUAUGCACGUCUUGACGGUACCUAAUCAGAAAGCCACGGCUAACUACGUG